rnacentral:rRNA from 1 species
CUGAGUACGGCGGAACACGUGAAAUUCCGUCGGAAUCCGGGAGGACCAUCUCCCAAGGCUAAAUACUCCCUAGUGACCGAUAGUGAACCAGUACCGUGAGGGAAAGGUGAAAAGCACCCCGGAAGGGGAGUGAAACAGUUCCUGAAACCGUGUGCCUACAAGUAGUUAGAGCCCGUUAAUGGGUGAUAGCGUGCCUUUUGUAGAAUGAACCGGCGAGUUACGAUUUGUUGCAAGGUUAAGCGGAAAAAGCGGAGCCGUAGCGAAAGCGAGUCUGAAUAGGGCGCAUAAGUAACAGGUCGUAGACCCGAAACCAGGUGAUCUACCCAUGUCCAGGAUGAAGGUAAGGUAAUACUUACUGGAGGUCCGAACCCACGCACGUUGAAAAGUGCGGGGAUGAGGUGUGGGUAGCGGAGAAAUUCCAAUCGAACUUGGAGAUAGCUGGUUCUCUCCGAAAUAGCUUUAGGGCUAGCCUCGAGGUAAAGAGUCAUGGAGGUAGAGCACUGUUUGGACUAGGGGCCCUUCUCGGGUUACCGAAUUCAGAUAAACUCCGAAUGCCAUGUACUUAUACUCGGGAGUCAGACUGCGAGUGAUAAGAUCCGUAGUCGAAAGGGAAACAGCCCAGACCACCAGUUAAGGUCCCCAAAUAUAUGUUAAGUGGAAAAGGAUGUGGGGUUGCUUAGACAACCAGGAUGUUGGCUUAGAAGCAGCCACCAUUGAAAGAGUGCGUAAUAGCUCACUGGUCGAGUGACCCCGCGCCGAAAAUGUACCGGGGCUAAACAUAUUACCGAAACUGUGGAUGAACCUCUUUAGAGGUUCGUGGUAGGAGAGCGUUCUAAGGGCGGUGAAGUCAGACCGGAAGGACUGGUGGAGCGCUUAGAAGUGAGAAUGCCGGUAUGAGUAGCGAAAGAAGGGUGAGAAUCCCUUCCACCGAAUAUCUAAGGUUUCCUGAGGAAGGCUCGUCCGCUCAGGGUUAGUCGGGACCUAAGCCGAGGCCGAUAGGCGUAGGCGAUGGACAACAGGUAGAGAUUCCUGUACCAGUGCUAAUUGUUUAACCGAUGGGGUGACACAGAAGGAUAGGGAAUCGCACGAAUGGAAAUGUGCGUCCAAGCAGUGAGUGUGAGAAGUAGGCAAAUCCGCUUCUCGCGAAGCAUGAGCUGUGAUGGGGAAGGAAAUUAAGUACGGAAGUUCCUGAUUUCACGCUGUCAAGAAAAGCCUCUAGGAAGAGUAGUACUGCCCGUACCGCAAACCGACACAGGUAGAUGAGGAGAGAAUCCUAAGGUGAGCGAGAGAACUCUCGUUAAGGAACUCGGCAAAAUGACCCCGUAACUUCGGGAGAAGGGGUGCUCUAUUAGGGUGCAAGCCCGAGAGAGCCGCAGUGAAUAGGCCCAGGCGACUGUUUAGCAAAAACACAGGUCUCUGCAAAACCGUAAGGUGACGUAUAGGGGCUGACGCCUGCCCGGUGCUGGAAGGUUAAGAGGAGUGCUUAGCUUCGGCGAAGGUACGAAUUGAAGCCCCAGUAAACGGCGGCCGUAACUAUAACGGUCCUAAGGUAGCGAAAUUCCUUGUCGGGUAAGUUCCGACCCGCACGAAAGGCGCAACGAUCUGGGCACUGUCUCAACGAGAGACUCGGUGAAAUUAUAGUACCUGUGAAGAUGCAGGUUACCCGCGACAGGACGGAAAGACCCCGUGGAGCUUUACUGCAACCUGAUAUGGAAUGUUUGUACCGCUUGUACAGGAUAGGUAGGAGCCGAAGAGACGUGUGCGCUAGCAUACGAGGAGGCAAUGGUGGGAUACUACCCUGGCUGUAUGACCAUUCUAACCCGCCACGCUUAGCGCGUGGGGAGACAGUGUCAGGUGGGCAGUUUGACUGGGGCGGUCGCCUCCUAAAGAGUAACGGAGGCGCCCAAAGGUUCCCUCAGAAUGGAUGGAAAUCAUUCGCAGAGUGUAAAGGCACAAGGGAGCUUGACUGCGAGACUGACAAGUCGAGCAGGGACGAAAGUCGGGCUUAGUGAUCCGGUGGUUCCGCAUGGAAGGGCCAUCGCUCAACGGAUAAAAGCUACCCCGGGGAUAACAGGCUUAUCUCCCCCAAGAGUCCACAUCGACGGGGAGGUUUGGCACCUCGAUGUCGGCUCGUCGCAUCCUGGGGCUGUAGUCGGUCCCAAGGGUUGGGCUGUUCGCCCAUUAAAGCGGCACGCGAGCUGGGUUCAGAACGUCGUGAGACAGUUCGGUCCCUAUCCGUCGCGGGCGCAGGAAAUUUGAGAGGAGCUGUCCUUAGUACGAGAGGACCGGGAUGGACACACCGCUGGUGUACCAGUUGUUCCGCCAGGAGCAUCGCUGGGUAGCUAUGUGUGGCAGGGAUAAACGCUGAAAGCAUCUAAGCGUGAAGCCCCCC